ACCGUGAGGACAGAGCUUCCUCCCUCAGGACGCGGCUGGGAGAGGCUGCGGCCUCGGGAGACAUGGGGACACUUGGGGCCGCGUCCACAGUGAGACAGGGAGACGCUGCUGCAGCUUCGGGACACCUGGGGCCGCCCAGGCGAAGAUGAGGAAAAAGCUUCCUGUUGCCGUUGAGUGUAGCGGCGGGAGCGCGGCCGUGUUUCCCUGUCCGCCGUUUGUAGCAGGACCUCACUUUAUAUUAAUAAAAGCGUCCCCUCAUGAGGGCUUGGGCUGGUCACCCCCAGCGCAGGCCAAGAUGCAGGUUAUGGAUGUGAGUUUGUUUCUGGGGAGAGACCCUGGUACCGGGAGAGGAGACGCGGUCAGGAGGCUGGGGACGGGAAGGCGCCACAGCCUGAGGCCGAGAAAACAGGCGCCCCCGGAUCAGUGCUCGUUUUUUUUGGUUUGGUGUGUGUGUGUGUGUGUGUGCGUGUGCGCGUGCGCGUGCGUGUGUGUGUGUGUUUUGAGACCGAGUUUCGCUCUUGUUGCCCAGGCUGGAGUGCAGUGGCGCCAUCUCGGCUCACUGCAACCUCCGCCUCCCAGGUUCAAGCGAGUCUACUGCCUCAGCCUUCCGAAUAGCUGGAAUUACAGGGACCCGCCACCACGCCCAGCUAAGUUUUUGUAUUUUUAGUAGAGAUGGGGUUUCACUAUGUUGGCCAGGCUGGUGUCAAACUCCUGACCUCAAGUGAUCCACCUGCCUUGGCUUCCCAAAGUGCUGGGAUUGCAGGCAGGCCUGAGCCACCAUGCCCUGCUGCUUUUUUUUUCUAAAUUAA
rnacentral:lncRNA from 1 species